rnacentral:rRNA from 1 species
UACGAAGGGGGCUAGCGUUGCUCGGAAUUACUGGGCGUAAAGCGCACGUAGGCGGCUUUCUAAGUCGGGGGUGAAAUCCUGGAGCUCAACUCCAGAACUGCCUUCGAUACUGGAGAGCUUGAAUCCGGGAGAGGUGAGUGGAAUUCCGGGUGUAGAGGUGAAAUUCGUAGAUAUUCGGAAGAACACCAGUGGCGAAGGCGGCUCACUGGACCGGUAUUGACGCUGAGGUGCGAAAGCGUGGGGAGCAAACAGG